rnacentral:lncRNA from 1 species
UCACGUUUAUAUUGUAAUAUUAAUUUGUAUCAUAUCAUAUUAUAUAUUUAUAAAGUAUAAAUUAUUAUAUUAUUUUAAAAAUUGCUAUGACGUGUUGUGUUGAUAUAUACUCUAAUUGUGGUAAUUUUAAAUCUAAUAGCCUCAGAAAAUUGCCCUUCUUUAGGGUAAUUAAAAAUUAUACAACUAUGAUUAACACAAUACAUAUUAUGUCUUAACAUUUAUUAGAUGAAUAAAAAUAAAGUUUAACUACAUAAUUUUUAUAAAAUAGAUUUCCCUCUGAUAAGAUCAAAAGGUAGAUGUGGGUUAAAGCUAUAAAAAGAAAAAAACUUUGUUCCCUACGCGUUAAAGUGAAAUAUGUAGUUAACAUUUUACAAAUAAUCAUUUUUACCAAUAAUAUUACAGCAAGUUGUUGAGAGAAAUACCUUACACCAGUAUCUAGAAUCUUCAAUUGUGAUCCUGUAAGUAAAAGAAAGUUGGCAUAUUGCGAUCACAGAUCGCGGUUAUUACAGUAAAAAAUCAUUUUCUCUUAGAUCAGUAGAAGAAACCACUGAAAAUAAUAUUGCUUAGUUUUGAAUGUUCUAGCCCUAAGUCCUAACUAUGGCGUUUUGGAUUUACCAUUAUAGAGUACAAUAUUUUUGAUCAGAAAUCACUGUCUCUAAAUUAUAUUACUAGGUACAAAAUUUACAAUUUUUUUAUAACUUAUUUCUUUAUUGUCAUCUUGAUUACUAGUUUAUGUUUGUGUUUAAUGAUAUGAACUCUGCUUAAUUCUCUAAUUAAUAUACUCUAAUUAAAUGAUACACAGGUAUAAACUUCUAUGUAAAUAUAAAAAGGAUUAUUAAUAAAUGAUAAUUUAAUUGGUAAAAAAAAAAUACAUAAUUAUCAUGAGUAUACAAUAUUAUUAUCACAAUGCUUAUCUUAAUAUUUUUUUUUUUUUUAUUGAUCUUUAAAGCCCGGCGACUAUGGCCAUUAGCUGAUUGUGGGGUUUUAUGAUUGUAUGUAGUAGGUUUUGUAAUGGUAGGGGGUUUUUACACGUGUGUAAUGAGUUUGGCAGAAUUUUUGAUUGGGCACCCGUGGGUAUCUGCUAUGCCCGGGUGGGGGGUGGCGGCACUUGUUCUCCGGACACCGUGACUUGUCCGAAGAAAAAUGCCGCCCGUGGCCAAGGAAUCGAACUCGGGUCGUCUGCGUUGCAGCCGACGCCUUAGUCCGCUCGGCCACUCCGUCCCCCCUUAAUAUUUUAUAACUAUUUAUAAUUGUAUUUAUUCCAGUGAAAGAUACGUACCUACUUAGAAUUCAGUAAAUCAGCAUAGAUACGACAUUUAUGUAUUUUUGUUUUAAAUUUAUGUAUGUAUUAUAUAUGCAGUAGGUUUAUUUGUUAUAGUUCAUUAAAUUAAUAUCGUCUGUCUGUAUGAUUGUAUAUUACCUACCUAUAUUGUAUUUUUCAUAACUUGACCUGUAGAGUCAAGAUUAGUGAAUAAUAAUUUAACAAUAUACCUAACAUGAGCAACCUGUUUAACGCUAAUAAACAUAUGAAUCUGUUAUAAUAUAUACAUGACUCCAGUGUUGUAAAGAAUACUUGGAAUACUUUUUAAAUACUUCCGGUUUUUCAUUGUAGAUUUAUAAUUAACCUAACGUAAUAGGUAUAUAAUCAUUUUUAUUUAAUUUGUUUAUGAAAUUAAUGCUUAUACUACAUUUUAGAAACAUGUCUUCAAAAUGUUAGUCAAUGAUAUUGGUCCCCCCCCCCACAAAUUGAAUAAUAGUCGAUUUUAAGGGUCUUAAUUACGUAUUAUUAUAGAGGUUCCUACUUAUUUAAUUGUGGAAAUUAGUACAGACUUCUAUACUACACUAUUAUAAAUCUGUAGCAAUUA